UCCUGAAAAAGUGUAUAAUCGUGGGAAAAUUUUACUGAAAUUAGUAACUCCAUUCAAGAUAUCAACAAAAGGCCAUGUAGAUUUAAAAUCAUUGUAUAAGUUUGGAAGAUGGCUUCAUUCUAAAAUAGAAAUACUGAAAACUAGAAUUCAUUCAGUUAAAAGAGAUCGUAAUCAUCCUAUUAAACAAAUUAUGAAAUCUCUUAGAAAAAUUACAAGAAGAGAGGAAGAAUAUUUUAAAAGAAUGUAUAGUCAGGCUGAAGAAAAUUUGAAAGAAAUUCGACAUCUUCUCAAUCCAUUUGUAGAACCUACUGUUGAAAUGCUUUAUAAUAUCAAAGAAAUAAUUAUUGUUAAUGCACAUCACU